rnacentral:rRNA from 1 species
AGCAGCCGCGGUAAUUCCAGCUCCAAUAGCGUAUAUUAAAGUUGUUGCAGUUAAAAAGCUCGUAGUUGAAUUUCGGGAUCAAUACGUCGGUCGUGCUUCGGUACGUACUAACGUCAUUGAUUUCUCCCUUCUGACGAAUCGUGAUGUCAUUAAUUUGGUGUUACGGGGAGUUAGGACUGUUACUUUGAAAAAUUAGAGUGUUUAAAGCAAGCAAUCGCUCGAAUACAUUAGCAUGGAAUAAUGAAAUAGGACGUUCGAACCUAUUUUGUUGGUUUCUAGGAUCGACGUAAUGAUUAAUAGGGAUAGUUGGGGGCAUUAGUAUUCAAUUGUCAGAGGUGAAAUUCUUGGAUUUAUUGAGGACUAACUACUGCGAAAGCAUUUGCCAAGGAUGUUUUCAUUAAUCAAGAACGAAAGUUAGGGGAUCGAAGACGAUCAGAUACCGUCGUAGUCUUAACCAUAAACUAUGCGACUAAGGGNUCGGAUGAUGUUAAUUUAUAAUGAC